rnacentral:rRNA from 1 species
UACGUAGGGGGCAAGCGUUGUCCGGAUUUAUUGGGCGUAAAGCGCUCGCAGGUGGUUCGUUGCGUCGUGCGUGAAAGACCCCGGCUCAACUGGGGGAGGUCGUGCGAUACGGGCGAACUGGAGGCCAGUAGGGGGAUGCGGAAUUCCGGGUGUAGUGGUGGAAUGCGUAGAGAUCCGGAGGAACACCAGCGGCGAAGGCGGCAUCCUGGACUGGUCCUGACACUCAGGAGCGAAAGCGUGGGGAGCGAUCCGG